CCGGCGCAUGGGUGAGUAACGCGUAUGCAACCUGUCCGUUACAGGGGGAUAGCCCAUGGAAACGUGGAUUAACACUCCAUAAUAUAAUAUAGAGGCAUCUUUGUAUUAUUAAAUAUUCAUAGGUAACGGUUGGGCAUGCGUCCUAUUAGAUAGUUGGGGGGGUAACGGCCCACCAAGUCGAUGAUAGGUAGGGGUUCUGAGAGGAAGGUCCCCCACACUGGUACUGAGACACGGACCAGACUCCUACGGGAGGCAGCAGUGAGGAAUAUUGGUCAAUGGGCGAGAGCCUGAACCAGCCAAGUCGCGUGAGGGAUGACUGCCCUAUGGGUUGUAAACCUCUUUUGUAUGGGGGGAAUAAGCUUUACGAGUAGAGUGAUGACAGUACCAUACGAAUAAGCAUCGGCUAACUCCGUGCCAGCAGCCGCGGUAAUACGGAGGAUGCGAGCGUUAUCCGGAUUUAUUGGGUUUAAAGGGUGCGUAGGCGGCAUUAUAAGUUAGUGGUAAAAUAUUGGGGCUUCACCUCACUACGCCAUUAAUACUGUAGAGCUAGAGAACAGACGAGGUAGGCGGAAUAAGUUAAGUAGCGGUGAAAUGCAUAGAUAUAACUUAGAACACCGAUAGCGAAGGCAGCUUUACCAGACUGAGUCUGACGCUGAUGCACGAGAGCAUGGGUAGCGAACAGGAUUAGAUACCCUGGUAGU
rnacentral:rRNA from 1 species